rnacentral:rRNA from 1 species
UACGAACCGGACGAACGUUAUUCGGAAUCAUUGGGCUUAAAGGGUGCGUAGGCGGCCGCGUAAGUCGGGUGUGAAAUCCCUCGGCUCAACCGAGGAAUUGCGCCCGAUACUGCGUGGCUAGAGGGAGACAGAGGCGAGCGGAACUGAUGGUGGAGCGGUGAAAUGCGUUGAUAUCAUCAGGAACACCGGUGGCGAAGGCGGCUCGCUGGGUCUCUUCUGACGCUCAGGAACGAAAGCUAGGGUAGCGAACAGG